AAAUUGAAGAGUUUGAUCAUGGCUCAGAUUGAACGCUGGCGGCAGGCCUAACACAUGCAAGUCGAACGGUAGCACAGAGAGCUUGCUCUCGGGUGACGAGUGGCGGACGGGUGAGUAAUGUCUGGGAAACUGCCCGAUGGAGGGGGAUAACUACUGGAAACGGUAGCUAAUACCGCAUAACGUCGCAAGACCAAAGUGGGGGACCUUCGGGCCUCACACCAUCGGAUGUGCCCAGAUGGGAUUAGCUAGUAGGUGGGGUAACGGCUCACCUAGGCGACGAUCCCUAGCUGGUCUGAGAGGAUGACCAGCCACACUGGAACUGAGACACGGUCCAGACUCCUACGGGAGGCAGCAGUGGGGAAUAUUGCACAAUGGGCGCAAGCCUGAUGCAGCCAUGCCGCGUGUAUGAAGAAGGCCUUCGGGUUGUAAAGUACUUUCAGCGAGGAGGAAGGCGUUGUGGUUAAUAACCACAGCGAUUGACGUUACUCGCAGAAGAAGCACCGGCUAACUCCGUGCCAGCAGCCGCGGUAAUACGGAGGGUGCAAGCGUUAAUCGGAAUUACUGGGCGUAAAGCGCACGCAGGCGGUUUGUUAAGUCAGAUGUGAAAUCCCCGGGCUCAACCUGGGAACUGCAUUUGAAACUGGCAAGCUUGAGUCUCGUAGAGGGGGGUAGAAUUCCAGGUGUAGCGGUGAAAUGCGUAGAGAUCUGGAGGAAUACCGGUGGCGAAGGCGGCCCCCUGGACAAAGACUGACGCUCAGGUGCGAAAGCGUGGGGAGCAAACAGGAUUAGAUACCCUGGUAGUCCACGCCGUAAACGAUGUCUACUUGGAGGUUGUGCCCUUGAGGCGUGGCUUCCGGAGCUAACGCGUUAAGUAGACCGCCUGGGGAGUACGGCCGCAAGGUUAAAACUCAAAUGAAUUGACGGGGGCCCGCACAAGCGGUGGAGCAUGUGGUUUAAUUCGAUGCAACGCGAAGAACCUUACCUGGUCUUGACAUCCACGGAAGUUUUCAGAGAUGAGAAUGUGCCUUCGGGAACCGUGAGACAGGUGCUGCAUG
rnacentral:rRNA from 2 species